UGAAUGCACUAACUGUAAGUCGCUCUGGAUAAGAGCGUCUGCUAAAUGACAAAUG
rfam:Salmo salar isolate Sally breed double haploid chromosome ssa09, whole genome shotgun sequence.